rnacentral:lncRNA from 1 species
AGCAUGCAGGUGUAUUUGCAAGCCAAGCUGCCAUUCUGCAUUACUGAAACUGCGCAGCAUGCACAGGACAACGUGAGCACAAGGGCAGAGCUGCAUGGAGCUGCCUGUGGGAGGGUAACAGCCUGCAUUAAACACUGCAUGUCAAGAUGCAAAGACAAACAGCUGUCAAGAGGGAAGAAAGCUGUAACUGCAGCCAACAGAUGACUCUGGAGCCAACAGCUACUACAGAGGCCCUUGAGAUAGACAGCAGGAACAAGAGCGUUUUCCCUCAUAGGGAGAAAUUUUGGGGAAUGCUGAAAAAGAAAAAUAAAAGCAGGAGGAAGGACAUGAGGAAUGACUCAAUGGGAGGCAAAGAUGCACCUGAGAUUGCAUAUGUGCAACAUGAUGAAGAUGGAAAAGUAAUUUGGGGAGCAAGGAGGAUGGCAAGAGGAACCUGCAGCAGAAGACUUGGGCUUGGUCAGCAGGUGGAAACCUAAUGCUGGAGAGACUCUGAAGCUGAGCCUGGUCAGUCCAAUCUGAGUUUUUUCAGAAUGUGAAUUCCUCC